rnacentral:ncRNA from 16 species
UCGACCUUCGCCCGUAAAGGUUCGCUUAGCCGCGAUUAAUUGGGAAUGUGAGUGAGAAUCUCCGACUGUCCCGCAGCAGUGAACUCCAUUAUGGCUCCUAAGCAUCAAUGCCAUUGCCCGUUUGGGUGAGAAGGCGCUUGGGAGUGGAGGAAAGUCUGAAGACCAGCCUUUUUCGGUAUUUGCUAA